rnacentral:rRNA from 1 species
GAUGAACGCUGGCGGCGUGCCUAAUACAUGCAAGUCGAGCGAACGGACGAGAAGCUUGCUUUUCUGAUGUUAGCGGCGGACGGGUGAGUAACACGUGGAUAACCUACCUAUAAGACUGGGAUAACUUCGGGAAACCGGAGCUAAUACCGGAUAAUAUUUUGAACCGCAUGGUUCAAAAGUGAAAGACGGUCUUGCUGUCACUUAUAGAUGGAUCCGCGCUGCAUUAGCUAGUUGGUAAGGUAACGGCUUACCAAGGCAACGAUGCAUAGCCGACCUGAGAGGGUGAUCGGCCACACUGGAACUGAGACACGGUCCAGACUCCUACGGGAGGCAGCAGUAGGGAAUCUUCCGCAAUGGGCGAAAGCCUGACGGAGCAACGCCGCGUGAGUGAUGAAGGUCUUCGGAUCGUAAAACUCUGUUAUUAGGGAAGAACAUAUGUGUAAGUAACUGUGCACAUCUUGACGGUACCUAAUAAGAAAGCCACGGCUAACUACGUG